rnacentral:rRNA from 1 species
GACAGAGGGUGCAAACGUUGUUCGGAAUUACUGGGCGUAAAGCGCGUGUAGGCGGCUAAGUAAGUCGGGCGUGAAAUCCCGCGGCUCAACCGUGGAAGUGCACUCGAAACUGCAUAGCUAGAGUCCUGGAGAGGAAGGUGGAAUGCUUGGUGUAGAGGUGAAAUUCGUAGAUAUCAAGCGGAACACCGGUGGCGAAGGCGGCCUUCUGGACCGGCACUGACGCUGAGGCGCGAAAGCGUGGGGAGCAAACAGG